UGGGGAAUCUUGGACAAUGGGCGCAAGCCUGAUCCAGCCAUGCCGCGUGGAUGAUGAAGGCCUUAGGGUUGUAAAAUCCUUUUCGUGGGGGACGAUAAUGACGGUACCCCAAGAAGAAGCUCCGGCUAACUUCGUGCCAGCAGCCGCGGUAAUACGAAGGGGGCUAGCGUUGUUCGGAUUUACUGGGCGUAAAGCGCGUGUAGGCGGGUCGUUAAGUUGGGGGUGAAAUCCCGAGGCUCAACCUCGGAACUGCCUUCAAAACUGGCGACCUGGACUCAAGCAGAGGCAAGUGGAAUUGCGAGUGUAGAGGUGAAAUUCGUAGAUAUUCGCAGGAACACCAGUGGCGAAGGCGACUUGCUGGGCUUGUAGUGACGCUGAGACGCGAAAGCGUGGGGAGCAAACAGGAUUAGAUACCCCAGUAGUCCCUGAGCGGGCUGGCAAGGCGCAU
rnacentral:rRNA from 1 species